ACUCAUUAGCCGAAAGAUCAAGAAACUUUGGAUGAUGGCAUAGAACACAAUAUUUUUCUCAUAUACUCUAUCAAAUUUCAAGGUCACCUUGAGUAAAUGGGUUAAAAACCUGUAAUAAACUUUUCAAUAAUUCUGGAUUACCCAUAGAAUUGAUAUUAGGCCAUGGAUAAAUAAAUGAUUAAAGUAAGACUUUUCUGUAUAUAAAUUAAGUUUUUCAAGUUUCCUUACACCUAGGGUUUGUUUUUUGUUUGCUGGGUUUAUCACUGUUUGAACAGUCAGGGUCAUUUUGAGGCGGGGCCUCCUUGUAGUAGUUGGUGACUACAUCACUGAACAACAUACAGGAGGCCCAUCGCAUUUCAUCCAGUGCAAUUCGUAUAAAAUGUCUUGCCCAAGGACACAACAGACUGACCCCUUUCUGAGAAAUGUAAACCAACUUGGGGCGGGAGUGUCGAACCAAGCACCUCGGACCUGCACCAGAGGUAACAUGGCCGACACUUUAACCAAUUGAGCUAUCACGCCGGAAUACUAAGUUGGCUAUUCUUCAUUACCAUCUAUGUGGGUGAUUCGGGUCCUCUGGGCCUCUUGUUUAAUCUUGCUAUCGAGCCGGAAUACUAAGUUGGCUAUUCUUCAUUACCAUCUUUGUGGGUGAUUCGGGUCCUCUGGGCCUCUUGUUUAAUCUUGCUAUCGAGCCGGAAUACUAAGUUGGCUAUUCUUCAUUACCAUCCAUGUGGGUGAUUCGGGUCCUCUGGGCCUCUUGUUUAAUCUUGCUAUCGAGCCGGAAUACUAAGUUGGCUAUUCUUCAUUACCAUCUAUGUGGGUGAUUCGGGUCCUCUGGGCCUCUUUGUUUAAUCUUGCUAUGGAGCCGGAAUACUAAGUUGGCUAUUCUUCAUUACCAUCCAUGUGGGAGAUUCGGGUCCUCUUGGCCUCUUGUUUAAUCUUUAUGUAGCUAUGUGAAGUAGCAACUGAAUUGGUUAUUGUUGUGUGAUGUGUAAGCCUAGUCUUUACUGAACUACACAGUUUAUUAAUGCUUUAUUAGAUAUAAACGACAUAUUGGGUAGCCAGGGUUUGCAUUUUAAAGGCAAAAUUUCAAAUCUGCCUCCCAUUAAAGCGUGUACCUUAUUUAACAUUAACUCACAAUGUAGGGAGAAAGGAGGCCAAUUUGGUUGUAGCUUGUCUGAAAAUAUAUCAUUGUUUUACACUAAUCUACCUUACAGGGUUUGUAUGUUCAUAUUUCCAUUACAUAUAUUUGUUUUAUGUAUGUCGACUAUUUGAUGGUUACUUUUUUAAUGAUAUUUUUAUGCUUCACUAACAAGCAGACUGAGGGUGUAUUGUAGGUAUUGUGGCUAUUCACAGGCGUCUACUUCUGGUUGGUAUUAAUAGAAAUUAUACAGAAAAUGUCUGUAAAACAUGAAUUCCCCCACUACCACUUGACAUCCCGAAACCCAGUUUGGUGAGAUCGCAUCAGCAGUUCCUGAGAUUAGCUAGUUACAUUGUACAUUGCAUGGAACCAGACAAGACAGGACAGACAUAAGUAGCUGCUACAUGCCCCCUUCAACCCCCCCCCCCAUAACUGGAACUGAUAUUUUCCCCUAUAGAUAAUCACCAGAAGCAGAUGCCUGUGUUCUAUUUAAAGAUGGGUUCCAUGCACUAAGUUUUCAUAGUAUGUUAUUUCAGUGUGCCUGUGAAAUUGUUACAGUAUAUUUUUCUAGUAUUGAAUAUUUAAAAUUUGAAACCAAGUGCAAUAACUUUAUAAUGAAAGCUUUGGAGUUUCAUACCUAGUUAGGCCUAUCCUUGAAACCUAGUUAAUUAGGCCCCAAAGUUUUAAUGAGAAUGAAUGACAAAUUGUAGUUUUAAUGAAAAUGCAUGAAUGACAAACUGGUAGUUUCCUUCCUAGUAAGGUCAUAUUUUUUUUAUGAAAAUUUGAAGAAAUAAUAGAAUACAGAUUCGACCAAAAUUUUUAUUAGUAAGCACAUGACUACUAAACAAAAUACAGCUUCACACAACAUUGUAAAUUAAAUGAUAAAUACUGGGAAAAAAACUAGUUUUAGACUAAGUUGGGCCAAAUAUUUAAUAAUUAGAUUGGAAUAACACAAUAUUAUUUCUGCAUGAUCAGUCAUAUCUCAUAUUCUAAAGAUAAACCCUGAAAUAACAAAAUACAUUUUCAGACUUGGGCUAAAAAUUGGAAUAAGAAGCGCUGGAAAUAACAAAACAUAGCUUCAGAUUUGGGUCCCAAAAUUGGAAUGCUUAGGAAUGAUGAAUAUAUUUUCAGACAUAAUAUUUAAUGACAAUCCACAAUUUUGAAAAUUAGCUUGUUCUACACCACAAAGAAAUCAAUUGUCUUGUAAUUGAAGAACAGUCGACCGGCAGAUACAUUUUUUUAAAGUUCAUAUUUAUUGAGAUUGUUUCACGAUAUUAGUGUGUAAGAUAAAAUGUCUCGAUCAUGCUCAAAAAUAUUGAAAAUUCGAUUGUAACCCAUCUCUAAAUAAACAGAAUUACAUGU